AUACUAUACAACUUAAUUUCUCAAUUGCUCACUGGAGACUUGAAUCAAAGAGCACCAUGUUAUGCAGAAUGGCUACGCUGUUCUUUCUCUUGGGACUCCUCCUUGCAUCCUGGCCAGAGUUGCAGGAUAUCCCUCGCUGGAAAGUUGAAGGAGCUCUGCCUAAUAUUUGCAUACUCCCCAAGCAAGAGGGAUUUUGUAGUGGGAAAGUACCCAGGUAUUACUAUGACUUCAACAAAAAGGUCUGUGAAGAAUUUCUUUAUAGUGGCUGUCAAGGCAAUUCAAAUCGUUUUAAGAGUGCUGAAGAAUGCACUAAGACAUGCAAAGAAUAACAGAGAAAUACUGAACCAUUCAGAACCCCAUUGACCUAACAUUGAAACCCACUGAACAUCUCACGAAUCCUAUGCAACAGAAGAACCAAAUUAAGCGAUGAAUCAGCAGUGUUAUUCUCUCCUAAUCAUCAGCAUAUAUUUCAAUAAACCCAUUUAUUCAGCAGUAUCACAUGGACUUCUAUGUUUCUUUAUUGGGGUUGUUGCUAUCACAAGU